rnacentral:rRNA from 1 species
UACGUAGGGUGCGAGCGUUGUCCGGAAUUAUUGGGCGUAAAGGGCUCGUAGGCGGUUUGUCGCGUCGGGAGUGAAAACCUUGGGCUUAACUCAGGGCUUGCUUUCGAUACGGGCAGACUAGAGGUAUGCAGGGGAGAACGGAAUUCCUGGUGUAGCGGUGAAAUGCGCAGAUAUCAGGAGGAAUACCGAUGGCGAAGGCAGGUCUCUGGGCUAUAACUGACGCUCAUGCACGAAAGCGUGGGGAGCAAACAGG